rnacentral:rRNA from 1 species
AUGAGCUUGCUCUGCUCACUUGUUGCCGUCCUGUUGAUCGGUGCUGUGAGCGCCACCGGCGACGAGGCUGCGUUGCUUGCUUUCAAAGCGCAGCUAAGCCAUGGCUGCUCGCUGGCCUCCUGGAACAGCAGCGCCAGCUUCUGUAGCUGGGAAGGCGUGACAUGCAGCCACCGCACGCCUGCGCGGGUGGUUGCGCUGAGAUUGAACGGCACCGGGCUCGCUGGAGCACUCUCCCCGGCUAUUGGGAACCUCACGUUCCUGCGGACGCUCGACCUGAGCUCCAACUCGCUCCACGGGGACAUUCCGGCGAGCCUCGGCCGCCUUCGUCGCUUGCAGACUCUCUACUUGAGCCACAACUCCUUCUCUGGUACACUACCAGCAAACCUGAGCUCCUGCGUCAGCAUCACGGAAAUGAGACUGAACAACAACACACUUGGCGGGCGCAUCCCGGCUGAGCUCGGCGAGAAGCUCACAUACCUGGAGUUCAUGUCCCUGAGAAAAAACAGGUUCACUGGGCCCAUCCCAGCAUCACUGGCCAAUCUGUCCCAUCUACAGUCACUCGAACUCUCCUAUAACCAGCUCAUUGGCUCGAUCCCACCAGGGUUCGGAAGCUGCCACAACAUUAUAUAUUUCAAUGUCGCCGAGAACCUCCUCACUGGUAUGCUCCCACCUUCUCUAUACAAUUUGUCAUCAAUGGUAGUAUUUUCGGUAGGGGGGAAUAUGUUGUACGGAAGCAUUCCGCAAGAUAUCGGUAGCAAGUUCCCCAAGUUGCAAGGUCUUGGCUUCGGUACUAAUUACUUCACAGGAACUAUCCCUUCCUCAAUAUCGAACAUAUCUUCCCUCAUAUUACUUAGCAUCAACGCCAAUAGAAUUAGUGGGUAUGUUCCUCCCACAUUGGGGAAGCUGGGAGCUCUACAACAACUGUACUUGGGUGACAAUAAGCUUGAAGCGAAUGACAUCAAGGGAUGGGAAUUCAUCUCUUCUUUGACAAACUGUAGCCAACUGCGGGUACUGGCACUCGGCAUCAAUUCUUUCAGAGGACAACUACCGGGUUCGAUUGUGAACCUCUCAACAACUCUCCAGCAAUUAUACCUAAGUGACUCCAGGAUCUCUGGGAGUAUACCUGCAGAUAUCGGCAAUUUGGUUGGUCUCAGCGUGCUUCUAAUAGCAAAUACUUCCAUAUCAGGGGUGAUUCCAGAGAGUAUUGGUAAGCUAGAGAACUUAAUCGAUCUAGGCUUGUACAAUAAUAGCUUGUCUGGCCUCAUACCGUCAUCGCUAGGAAACCUUUCGCGGCUGAAUAGGCUUUAUGCACACUGUGGAAACUUGGAGGGACUGAUUCCGGCAAGCCUGGGGGAGUUGAAAAACCUCUUUGCACUCGAUUUAUCGAUGAACUACAGACUUAAUGGUUCAAUGCCCAGAGAGAUUUUCAAAUUACCCGGCCUUUCUUGGAAAUUGGACCUGUCCUAUAAUUCCCUUUCUGGGCCCAUUCCAGAUGAAGUUGGUAGCUUGGCCAACCUUAACAACCUAAUUCUAUUAGGAAACCAGUUGUCUGGCAAGAUACCCGACACUAUUCAGAAUUGCAUAGUGUUGGAACGACUACUAUUGAACAACAAUUCAUUCGAGGGAAGCAUACCUCAGUCAUUAAAAAAUAUAAAGGGGCUCAGCAUACUGAAUCUAGCCAUGAAUAAGUUCUCUGGUAGUAUUCCAGAGGCCCUUGGUAGCAUUGGGAAUUUGCAAAAGCUGUACCUAGCACACAACAACUUGUCAGGGUCAAUUCCAUCAGUUCUACAGAAUUUGACAUCAUUGUAUGAACUGGACAUGUCAUACAAUAAUUUGCAAGGCGAGGUGCCACAUGAAGGUGUUUUCAGAAACAUCACUUACUUAGCUAUUGCCGGAAAUGUCAAUUUGUGUGGUGGUACACCUCAACUUCACUUGGCUACAUGCCCCACAAGCCAAUUGAGCAAGAACAAAAAAAAGAUGCCAAGGCCUCUCAUAAUUUCUCUAGCAACAGCUGGAGCAAUCUUAAUAUCACUUUCAAUUAUUGUUCUUGUUCGGAUACUUUGUAAGAAUCUCAACCCAAGCCAGAAGACAAUAGCACAGAAUUCAGUUGAUGAUGACCGUUACAAGAGAAUCACCUAUAAUGCAUUAUUGAGAGGAACUAAUGAGUUUUCAGAAGUCAAUUUGCUUGGAAGAGGAAGUUAUGGUGCGGUUUAUAAGUGUAUUUUGGACACCGAAGAAAGAACAUUGGCUGUCAAGGUGUUCAAUCUUGGUCAAUCUAAGUAUUCCAAGAGUUUUGAGGCUGAAUGUGAUGUCAUGAGAAGGAUACGACACCGUUGUCUCACCAAGAUCAUUACUUCUUGUUCGAGCGUCAACUCCCAAGGUCAAGAGUUCAAGGCAUUGGUUUUUGAGUUCAUGCCCAAUGGUAACUUGGAUGAUUGGCUUCAUCCAAAAUCUCAAGAGCCAACUGCAAACAACACCCUCAGCCUCUCCCAGAGGCUUGAUAUUGUUGUCGAUAUUGUGGAUGCAGUAGAAUAUCUGCACAACUACUGCCAACCAUUGGUAAUCCAUUGUGACAUUAAGCCAAGCAACAUUCUUCUCUCUGAAGACAUGAGCGCACGAGUUGGAGACUUUGGCAUAUCAAGAAUCCUUCAUGAAAAUACAAAUGAGGGGAUGCAAACUUCGUAUAGCUCAACUGGAAUUCAAGGUUCCAUAGGCUAUGUUGCUCCAGAGUACGGAGAAGGCUAUGCGGUCUCAACAGCUGGUGAUAUUUAUAGCCUUGGCAUAUUGCUACUUGAGAUGUUUACAGGAAGGAGCCCAACAGAAGGCACGUUCAGAGAUUCAGUGGAUCUGCAUAAGUUUGUUGAGGAUGCUCUUCCAGAUAGAACAUUGGAGAUAGCUGACCCAACAAUGUGGCUGCACAGCGGAGAACAUGAUAACACUACAAGUAUUAGAAUCCAGGAGUUAUUGGCUUCAGUCUUGAGACUUGGCAUAUCCUGCUCAAAGCAACAUCCUCGAGACAGAGCACUGACGAGAGAUGCAACGGCGGACAUGCACGCAAUCAGAGAUGCGUACCUCAAGUUCAUUGGGGGUAUGGAGCAAAGCGAGAAGCCUCAUCUAGAGAAAUCACGAACGGCGUUGCAUAAACAAGCUAGUACAAGACAUAAUCCUGCAUAA